rnacentral:rRNA from 1 species
CAGCCGCCGCGGGAACACGUAGGUGGCAAGCGUUAUCCGGAAUUAUUGGGCGUAAAGCGCGCGUAGGCGGUUUUUUAAGUCUGAUGUGAAAGCCCACGGCUCAACCGUGGAGGGUCAUUGGAAACUGGAAAACUUGAGUGCAGAAGAGGAAAGUGGAAUUCCAUGUGUAGCGGUGAAAUGCGCAGAGAUAUGGAGGAACACCAGUGGCGAAGGCGACUUUCUGGUCUGUAACUGACGCUGAUGUGCAAAAGCGUGGGGAUCAAACAGGAUUAGAUACCCGGGUAGUCCCUGUCUCUUAUAC